AGAUAAUCGGAGAACGUAAGUGCGAAGGCGGCUAGUAAGCUCUCGCUACUGAUAUGAGCGAUCGAAUGCGUGGGGGAGCAAACCAGGAUUAUGAUAUCCUGGUAGUUCCCCCCGUAAUCGAUGGAAAGUAGUCAGUUGGCAAGUCAGUGAGUCGCUGGCGCCACUAGUGCACUAAGGUAUAUCUCCGGGGAGUACGUUCGCAAGAGGAAUUCCCAAAGGAUUUGCCGGGGUCCAGAUCCACAGGUGGAAAAGCAGUUUCAGUUUUGAGCAACGGGCAGACCCUUCCCAGCCCAUGAUAUCCCGGUGGGGGUUUUCAGAAAUGGUUUUCUUCACUUCGGUUGGCCCGGUGACAGGUGCUGCAUGGCUGUCGUCAAGUCGUGUGGUGAGUUGUUGGGUUAAGUCCCCCAACGAGCCCACCCCUCGCCCUUAGUUGCCAUCAUUCAGUUGGGCACUUUAAGGGGCCUGCCGGUGAUAAGCCGAGAGGAAGGUGGGGAUGACGUCAAGUCCUCAUGGCCCUUACGGGCUGGGCUACACACGUGCUCCAAUGGUGGUGACAGUGGGCAGCGAGCCCGCGAGGUCGAGCUAAUCUCCAAAACCCAUCUCAGUUCGGAUUGCACUCUGCAACUCGAGUGCAUGAAGUUGGAAUCGCUAGUAAUCGCGGAUCAGCAUGCCGCGGUGAAUACGUUCCCGGGCCUUGUACACACCGCCCGUCACACCAUG
rnacentral:rRNA from 1 species